AGCAGUCUCAUCGAGCAUUAAAGACGUUGCUGGGCUCAGAUUCAGGUCAUAAUUCACAUUUUCUGCACCUCUGACUCGCAGCAGUGACUUCAGUUCCCCAUCAUGGAGAAAGUGUGCACCCAGAGCCGGUGAGGUACGACAUGUCUUCCCAUCCCCUUGUUUUCUGUUGCGGUUUCAAGAUUCUCCCAGACUACCCAGCCUGUUUCCAUGGCUCCUACCCAGUACAGAUCACUGCGGACCGAAGUAUGGAAAGAGAAGACAAACUGUUAUGAGAAAUAAUAAGGUGACAAGCAUCAUCAUCUCUCUCCUGGAACCCUCUCUUCCACGCUAGAUAGUCUGUCACAUGCCCCUGCACACUCCUGCUGCACGUGGCAGAUGAGCUUCUCACCGUUUCGAGGUCAGCGAUGGUGUCCACGGAUAGUGACUCACAUCAUCCCGAGAUGUGUGGGUGUCACAGGAAGUUGACAACCUUCAUAUCCAUGGUCCGCAUCCUAUGAGGGCCGAGCAAAAUGUUUGCAAUAACCUCAAAAAUUAAAAGAGAUAAU